CCUACGGGAGGCUGCAGUGAGGAAUAUUGGUCAAUGGACGAGAGUCUGAACCAGCCAAGUAGCGUGAAGGAUGACUGCCCUACGGGUUGUAAACUUCUUUUAUAUGGGAAUAAAAUGUUCUACGUGUGCGUUUUUGUAUGUACCUUAUGAAUAAGGAUCGGCUAACUCCGUGCCAGCAGCCGCGGUAAUACGGAGGAUCCGAGCGUUAUCCGGAUUUAUUGGGUUUAAAGGGAGCGUAGUUGGGUUGUUAAGUCAGUUGUGAAAGUUUGCGGCUCAACCGUAAAAUUGCAAUUGAUACUGGCAGUCUUGAGUACAGUAGAGGUGGGCGGAAUUCGUGGUGUAGCGGUGAAAUGCUUAGAUAUCACGAAGAACGCCGAUUGCGAAGGCAGCUCACUGGACUGCAACUGACACUGAGGCUCGAAAGUGUGGGUAUCAAACAGGAUUAGAUACCCGGGUAGUC
rnacentral:rRNA from 1 species